rnacentral:rRNA from 1 species
CAGUCGCCGCGGGAAUACGGAGGGGGCUAGCGUUGUUCGGAAUUACUGGGCGUAAAGCGCACGUAGGCGGCUUGGUAAGUUAGAGGUGAAAGCCCGGAGCUCAACUCCGGAAUUGCCUUUAAGACUGCCGAGCUAGUAGGUGAGAGAGGUAAGUGGAAUUCCGAGUGUAGAGGUGAAAUUCGUAGAUAUUCGGAAGAACACCAGCGGCGAAGGCGGCUUACUGGCUCAUACUGGACGCUGAGGUGCGAAAGCGUGGGGAGCAAACAGGAUUAGAUACCCGAGUAGUCCCUGUCUCUUAUAC